GCACUGCCAUGCACCAGGGAGCUGUGUGCCUGGGGGUCCUGUAAACUCUCCAGAAUAUCACAUUUCCCAUAGCAUAACAGCUGGAUCCUUCGGAGGGGGGAAGGGAUGUCUCUCAUCACUGAUGUUUUAAUUAAGAGCACAGGAAGGAAAAGUGAGGCAUUAACCAUCUGCCUUGCAAUAGGGCCAGAGCAUGGCAGGUGCCGGGGUGCAUUAGCAAGAGGAAUCAGACUCCUCCUUUGAGUCAAGUUAAGCUUUACUCAACACUUAACACCCAGUUAAUUGCUGGGUGCUUACUGCAAUUAGGGAGGCUGUCUCAGCUAGCAGUAAUGGAGGGUGAUGGCAACCCCCAGCACUGAGGAUAAGAGAGGCUGCAUCCAUCCCUGCAGACACCACAUCCCUCCCUGGGGAUGCCAUGUCCCUCCCUGGGAUGUGGGGGAAACAGUGGUGUCCAGAACACAGCAUGAAAGCUGCUGAGCUUCGUCCCCUACCUGGGCUCUACUGGAGAGCUCUGUGCUCCAAGCCUGGCCUGACUCCCUUAUGCUGACCCAGCAGGAGGUUUUCCAAGCAGCACUCCGUACCAAGAAGCACUUCACGUGGCUAAUGUAUGAGCCAUUGCACCCCAGCAGUGAAUCCAAUUUGUAUACCGUAAAAACAAACUGUGCUCCCUCUGACUUUGCAUUCAGACUGUUUCCAAGAAGGUAAAAUCAGCCAAAGCAUAGAAUCUGAGAGCCUGGUUUGUACCACCCCUGUGCACAGCAAAGCAGUGACACCCCAGUGCGAUGGCUUGUGGGCUUACAGCACAGGAGUAAUGAAUGCACAGCCAGUUUGCACGCUUUAUUAGAGUCCUAUUUUCACUCCUUCUUCCAGAGGAGUCCAGAAUGAUUGGCGACAGACUUCUCCUCUGCCUCUUCACACUGCUGUGCUUGCCCUUCAGCCCCCCGCAGCCCCCUGCCCGGCAGCCAGCAGCACCCUGUGCUGAGCACAGAGGCCUGGAUGAACUGGCAGGGGCAGGGCACACUGCUGCCAUCCAUGUGCCCUGUGGCCACAGGACGGGGCAGGCGGCCGCUGACCAGCAGCCGCACAUAGCAGGCACUGAAGAUCACCAGGAGCUGCUGGGCCAUCACCUGGAACGAGCACGAGAGGGAACAGCCACCUCCAUCAUCACACAGAGCUGGUCCAGCCUGUGCCGCCAGCCCAGCUGCAGGAGAAGGAUGGUUUGGGGGACCCAAGGAGACAAAGAGCAUGAUUUCCUACCAAAGCUAUCCUCCCAGGAGUCAAGAAAAGUACAAGAUGUGGGGGUUGUACCCCUCACCUCCUGUCCUGCAGCCACGACUGGCCAGCAGAGUUUACACAUCUAUACACCCACAAAGAGUAAGAGACUUUCCGAAGGCUGAGAGGACAAAAUUCCCAUCCAGGUACCCAGUGCGGUGCUUAUUUAUUCCCCGGGCUAUCUCAUUAUUUCAAGAGGACAACUCAAGGUGUCAGCUAUUUCAGACAGUAACACCUGCCUUCAGCAUUUACCCUUGGCGACUUUCCCUUACCCAAAGUCGCACAGUGGAUUACCCAGCUACGCUCACACCAAAG
rnacentral:lncRNA from 1 species